AAUUCAGAUUGUAAGUAAUUCUUUAAGGUUGCCUUAUUGACAUCAUAUAUGUGUGUCCUUGGAAUUGCUUCCUGUCCUUGUGGAAUCAGUGAGGAAAGAUCCAUUUAUUCCCCCAGAGCAGGAAAUCAGCUCUGAAAUUUAAAGUUUCUUAAAAUACAAGUGAUCCUAGAAGCUGAUUCUUUUGAACAGGUCUGUCCUAGUCCCUGUCUCCCUUUGUGCUGGAUGAUGGAGCUGAACAUGAGGAAGGGUAAUGGAAUAAAUACAAACAUCAUGCAGCCAGGAACAGAACAGAGAUAUCUGUUAAACCACAGAUAUCCCAGAAGUUUUGUGGACAUUUGGAGCUGGUUUUGAGCAUUGUUCCUGCUGGGGCACUCACUGGGAGCCAUGGUUCUUCCUUGUGGUCAUAUUCCUCCAAAGCUGGAGUUAAAAACCCUUUGCAGACAUUUAGUCACAGCUUGGUGCCAGGGUAACCUGGGAAACACGAGAAGUUACAGGGCAGCAGAAUUUCACAGCUGUGAGAAACAAAAGGGCUUUGUUAAGUAGGCAAAUCUGUGCCACUUGCAUGGAGCACUGCCAAAGGGUCAGACCUAGUUAAAUCCCUGUGUCUUGAAGUGGAAGGAAGCAGAUAGGAACCUUUCCAAGUUUUAAAAUUAGCAUUUCUGCAGGAACAUCUCCAAUUCUCAAAUUCAGCAUUUCAAUGGAUAUAUGAACGUCGUAUUUAAUUGUUCUGCUGCACCUGCCUGAGUGAAAAAGCAGAGAAAAAGACCCAGGUUGUGUGUCCAGACUUUUCUCAUCCAAGCAAACCAUGGUACCAGGAGCUGACUGAGCCUGUGGCUGUGGGGAGGAGCACCCUGGGAAUACCUGGAAUGGGAUCUGGCAUGCAAAGAAGCCAAAUCACUCUUUAGUUUAUGAGAGGUGCUCAGGGAUUUUGCUCAGGUGUGUUACCUUGGGUGGCAGAUCCUUGCUGGAUGCUGGGCAGAGGAAGGAGCACAAAGCCCCUUUACAGAAGCCUGGUGUCUGAAAUCCCAUCCUGGAUGUUGGAGGAGUUAUUUCUAAGUUCAAAUAUAAGAAAAGCAAAACUAUUAAUUGUUUCCAAGUUCCUCUGUUAAUUUAUCCUGCUAUGUUUUCAGGUAUUUACUGGUGCCACUCUCCCUAAAGUAAGGCUGUCCUUUCCUAUGUGUACUAGGUGCGUUAUGAAUUGUCUGAAGAACGCAUUAAAUUUGGGUCAUGCUCAACAUCCCAUUGCUCUGAAAACUGCUGCUUGGUGGCAUUUUAUUUUGCUUCCUUGAAAGAUGUCUGUAUGUACUUUAUAUUGCUUUAACAUUUUGAUACUGUGUGAAUUUUUACAUUUGAGAUUAUUUUUAUUGAUUAUUUUAUUGAUUAUUUUUCAAGAAUCUGGGACAUUAACAAAACAAAAAGGAAAGAACUAUUUUUAGUAAAUUGGGUUGCUGCUGCUCCUGUGCAGCUGAGUGUCAGAAAUUUGUCUCAGGGACUUUUUUUUGCCUUACAGAACUUCUGUAACAAAGAAACAUGAGUGAAAAAGAGCCAUGCUGCUUCCUGGGGUGGAGCACCAAAGCAGUGAUUAGAGCUCUGACUGUCUGUGGUACCUCUGACUUUUCUUCCAGAUCAGAGAGGGUGAUCUCUUUACAUUCCUCAGUAGCAGAAAGAAAUUCUCAUGGGAUGCUUGCCCAAGUUUAUGCUGCUCAACAAUGUUAAUGAUAGCUCACAAUAUGUUUGUUUCAGAUAUUUCUGAUGUUAAAAGCCAGCUUGCUCAAAGCCAAUUACUGAAACUAAUGCUUAAAAAAUUCCUAAUGCAUAGUUUUAUUGAAAAACAAAACUCUACGUAACAUUUUUUUUUUCAAAAAGUGACUGUAAGAAAAGCAGUCUUCUUUGGAACUGCAAAGGGAAGUACUGAGCUGACAAUAAUUUAGGAAAUGUUUUCCUUGAAGCUUCCCACAUCCAUCUCUUUUUAAGGGAAAGCAUAAAGUUUUAAGUUUUCUUUAAUGACUUUUGAAACACCAUUUAGUAGAAAAACAGCUCUAGGUUGCAUAAGUAUUGUCUUGCAUAUAAAUGUACUUUAAGAUUCCUUCAUUUUUUAAAAAAAGUGAAGAUAAGUCUAUAAUAUCCAAAUAUACAAACAAAUUGGCAUUGAGAUGUUCCUUCUAUGUUUCACACCAAGGAUAAGAUGAAAACUUUUUGAGAAUUAUGGAAUAAUUGCACUUUUGAAUACAAGAGCUGGCCAGCACUUGAACAUCCACCACCUUGAUAAACCACAGCUAAUGCUCACAGGAGUUCUUCCUAUGGUUUUGGCCAAAUGUACUGGAAUCCAGGGGAUCUUUUAGGAGCAGGGAAUUCCUUCUGUGCCCUUGGGUUCCCAUCCGUGGGGAGAUGAGGCUGGCAGUGCCCUCCUUGCACAGAGGUGCCCCUGGCAGUGCCCAGAGUGAGCUGUGUGCAGCUCUCCACUGCUGCUCUGCUCAUGGGGCACUGCCCCACGCUGUGAUCAGCUCCCUGCUCCUUUCCCCUGGCUCUGGCACAAUUCCCAUUCCC